ACGGGAGGCAGCAGUGGGGAAUAUUGGGCAAUGGGGGAAACCCUGACCCAGCAACGCCGCGUGAAGGAAGAAGGCCUUCGGGUUGUAAACUUCUUUUAGUAGGGACGAAGACAUGACGGUACCUACAGAAAAAGCAACGGCUAACUACGUGCCAGCAGCCGCGGUAAUACGUAGGUUGCAAGCGUUGUCCGGAUUUACUGGGUGUAAAGGGCGUGUAGGCGGAGCUGCAAGUCAGAUGUGAAAUCCCGGGGCUUAACCCCGGAACUGCAUUUGAAACUGUUUCCCUUGAGUAUCGGAGGGGCAGGCGGAAUUCCUAGUGUAGCGGUGAAAUGCGUAGAUAUUAGGAAGAACACCGGUGGCGAAGGCGGCCUGCUGGACGACAACUGACGCUGAGGCGCGAAAGCGUGGGGAGCAAACAGGAUUAGAUACCCUGGUA
rnacentral:rRNA from 1 species